CGAACCUGCGCGGGAGAGUCUGACGGCAUGUGUGUCCUUGAGGGAUGGGCAGGCCAUCGGCGCCGAAGGAGCAACCGCCCCGGAAACUCUCAGGCACCAGGGACCGCGUGGGGAUG
rnacentral:ncRNA from 2 species